AGAAACUUAGGAUAGCCCGCCCCAAAACCGAAG
rnacentral:tRNA from 1 species